rnacentral:rRNA from 1 species
UGAGGAACAUGACCUUCGGCGGGGGAUAGCCGGCCCAACGGCCGGGUAAUACCGCGUACGACCACAUGGGGACAUCCCUGAGUGGUGAAAGCAGCAAUGCGCCGAUGGAGUGCCUCGCGGCCUAUCAGCUAGUUGGUGAGGUAACGGCUCACCAAGGCGACGACGGGUAGCUGGUCUGAGAGGAUGGCCAGCCACAUUGGGACUGAGACACGGCCCAGACCUGUACCGGGGAGG